rnacentral:lncRNA from 1 species
CAGAGCUCGGGAGGAAAAGGAGCUGCUCCAGCGAGGAUAUUUAGGAUUAAACCUCUACUCCAGUUCCAUUAAAGCUCAUGAUUAAAGUGCUGGACUCCAGACAAUGCUUCCCUGACUUCCCAGCUGCUCCCCCAGCUCCCACUUUACAUCUCCAGCCCAACCCCUUUUCAGCCACCUUUGAAUUUUCCCCUUUCUUGCAGGGUUUUAUUCUUUCCCUUUAAUUUUUUUUUUUUCAAACCCCAAAUCCAUGAGUGGCCACUUCUGCAAGCGAUAAAAAUCUUAUUCCCUGCCUUUGGAUUUUUUUUUUUUUCCAGGCAAUUGUAGCUUGCAACACCUUAAUUAUCGCGGCUCUGAAAACCGGUUAAAGAUUUUAAUACUUCCUUCCCCAGCCUAUUAUGCAGCGACUUCUCAGCCCCAUAAAAUGUUCCUCUGGAGCCCCAUGGCCUCGUGCUGCUGCAUUUCCCUGCUCCAUCCUUUCCCCACGGAUUAAACACUCCCAGCUCUCCCCUUGGGGCAGGGCUCCUUGGAAAAUCACUUUCCCGGGAGAGGGGCUGUGCCUCUGCCAGGGUGUUGGGGAUCCACGUGCCAGCCCGGUGGGAUCUCCUCCCUUUCAUCCUAAAAAACACUUAGGGGGAAUAUCUCCCUGGUCCCACGGUGCCUGUGGGAUGAGAGAAGUUUAUUCCCCACCGAUGUUUUAUUUAGGUGAGGACGCUGGGGACCACCAGGUCUGUGGGUGGCUCUUGGAUCCCUCAUGGAAUGGGAGCCUGGAGCAGCACCCCAGGAUGGAGCUGUGUGGGAGCUGAGUCCCCAAAACUCAUGACAUCCACAUGGGAAUGUCCAUGGCAGCCCCAGGAAAAGGGAAGGGACAUGGAAAUCCCAUAAAGUCCUUGUGGAAUCACAAGGAUCAUCCACCAUAGCUGGGAUUUUGGGCAUGGAUGGGGAUUGUGGUGCCCUGGACCUGCUCAGAGCCCCCCAGGACAUGGAUCCCUUCCUUCUCCCACCUGGAGCCCAGACCAGAUCCCGGUGUCAUGGGUGCACCUGAGGCAGGGAACCGCUUCCCAUUUAAUUUAUUGGGUUUUUAACCAUCCAAGGAAUUGCCGUGGUUGGUCACCACCGAUUCCUUCUCAUGUCUGGGUGUAAAAAUCAGGUGCUCUGCUUCCCUGGGCAGGUGUUUCCUGCUGGGCCAGCACCAGGGGGGCUGGGAAGGAGCUUUCCCACUCUCCCACCCCUCCAAGGUGUCCCACUGCCCUGGCUGAGCCCUGCUCCCGUUCCACGGGGCCUCUCCCACCUUGAAGUGUUUGGUGUCCCUGGCACAUUCCAGGCAGGGCAGAGGCCACAAUCCUGGUUUUUCCUGGUGUGCCAGGUGUGGCUGUGCCAGGUGUGGCGCUCUCCAUGGGGAGGGGACCUUUGGAAUCUCCUGCCUGGCUCAGCGGUGCCUGCCUCACCUGCUCCCUCCCCCAUCCCGAGGAUCCACGUCCACCACGGGGUCUGAUCCCAAAGUGCUCCCAAAGGGAUCCUGCAGGGAUCCUGUGCCCUCCUGGCCGGGAGGGGCGGGGUUGGGCAUCCUCCUCCUCCUCCUCCUCCUUUCCAAAGGAUUCCCGCGCUCCCGAGCCCCACCUGAGCCGGAGCCGGAGAGCGGCAUCGCCAUGGCAACGGGGCUGAUGGCAGCCGGGGAUGGAGGGGCAGGAGAGGGGGAACGGGGAAUGGGAACGGGCAGGGAGAGAGGGAAUGGGGAGGGAAUGGGCAGGGAGAGUGGGAAUGGGCAGGGAAUGAUCAGGGAAUGGGCAGGGAACAGGGAAUGGG